GGAAAAAUCUGGUGCUGAAAAUCCUUCUGGCUGGAUUUACAAAGAGAAUCAGGAAAAAUAUCAGAGGGAAAAGAGGCAGAUGUUCUGAAAAUACAGAUGGGAGCCUUGGAAAGAGAGGAAAGAGUAGGAGGAACUUCAGCAUCUUCUUGAAAAGUUUUAUGGCCUUGUGAGCCUCCCCCCUGCCUGUGCCCAGCCUGUGACCCACAGCACCAGCAGCAGGACGUGCUCACAGGACAGGGACAAGAGGAGCACCCCCAACCUUCACAUCUGGACCUGCACAUCUGUACAGUGAGGGCUGGAAAAGGACUCUGUGGAGGAGUGACAGGAGUGGCAGGGGACACUGAGAACAGCACAGGAAAACACACUGGAAAAAAAAAUCUUUGGGAAUCAGAUCUCCAGACAUGGGUGCUGUACAAAAAUGUGUCAUGGCAUUGAUAAAGAGGCUGACUUGUCCCUGCAGCCCAGACUGCACCAACUGGUAAGUGAUAUCCCAAUGUUUUCCUGGAAUGACUUCCCACAAGGCUGUCUCCUGUAGGUGAUAGUCAUCUGCUUGCAGGCUAAUUCAUUUUCCUGUUGCUCAGCUUCAUAAAGCAGCCUUUUAUCUUGCAAUUUAUGAGCAUAAUGCAUAAGUGUUUGCAAAUGCUACUCAGUUGUCUGCAGAGGUGGGAAAAGCUCUUUGUGUACCAGCACACAGAGGUGAUCCCAGGACAAGUUUAACUCUGAGAGGAGGGGUGAGGAGAGCACAGUGAAAAAUCAUGGAAGACUCCUGUAAUCAAUUGAACACUAUGCUCAGGGGAAGUGGGCUGCUACUGGUAUGCUCAGUGUUUUAAUUCUUGUAUUUUGGAUUAUUUUUAAGGAGC